GAAGGGAUAGCUCAGAGGUAGAGCGCGUGCUUAGCAUGCACGAGGUCCUGGGCCCCAUCCCCAGUACCUCCA
rnacentral:tRNA from 1 species